AUUGAACGCUGGCGGCAGGCCUAACACAUGCAAGUCGAGCGGAGCGGCGGUCGGGUGAGUAAUGCCUAGGAAUCUGCCUGGUAGUGGGGGCUUACGUCCGGAAACGGGCGCUAACACCGCAUACUAUCAGAUGAGCCUAGGGCGGAUUCGCUAGUUGGUGGGGUAAAGGAGUACCAAGGCGACGAUCCGUACCUGGUCUGUGAGGAUGAUCAGUCAGACUGGAACUUAGACACGGUCAAGACUCCUACGGUAGGCAGCGGUGGGGAAUAGUGGACAAUGGGCGAAAGCCUGAUGCAGCCAUGCAGCGUGUGUGAAGAAGGCCUUCGGGUUGUAGAGCUCUUUCAGCGGGGAGGCGUUACCCGCAGAAGACGCACCGGCUAACUCCGUGCCAGCAGCCGCGGUAAUUC
rnacentral:rRNA from 1 species